AAGCGCUAUAGGUUGAAUUUUACAUGAAAUUGAAGAAUAGCCUGUAUUACGCGUAAAAAAAGAUACACUUGCUAUAAAUAUUUUAGAAAUUAAAUAUUUUGUAAUUAAAAGUACACGUUAUAAUCUUCUUAUUAUUUUUACAAUUUGUUAAAAAAAAUUACAGUGCAAAUACAACAAACUUCCCACUUCUGCUUCUGUAGUCUGUUGUAAUUUUCUGUAAACUGUUCUGUUUUUCUGUAGAUAUUACGAAAUUAUCAACAAAUAUGGGGACAAAAUUUAAUUCUCUUUGUUUUAAUUUGAUAAUUUGAAGAUGCAUUUUUCGCUAUAUUCGCUGCAUUUUAGCACAUGAAACCUGCGAAAUUUGAAUUUUAUCGCCGUAUUUGUCUAUAAAUCGGUAACCGUUACAGUAAUACAGAACAAAUUACAGAAAAUGUCAACAGAUUGCGGAAGUGGGAAGGUUCACUUCUUGUAUUUUGACUGUAAAAUGAAUAAAUUAUUGUGUUAACAUUACCACCACUUCAAAAACGUCAUGUCUGGAAAAGACGUGGUAAUUUGUUACUUGCCAAAAUUGCAAAAAUAAUAAUUUACUUAAAACAAGCA